CCUACGGGUGGCAGCAGUGGGGAAUAUUGGGCAAUGGGCGAAAGCCUGAACCAGCAAAGCCGCGUGAGGGAAGAAGGUCUUAGGAUUGUAAAAUUCUGUCAGACGGGAAGAAAAAAAUGACGGUACCAUAGGAGGAAGCAGCGGCUAACGACGAGCCAGCAGCCGCGGUAAUACGUAGGGGGCGAGCGUUGUCCGGAAUUACUGGGCGUAAAGAGAGCGUAGGGGGCACUAGUGGUCUCAUGUGAAAUACCCGGGCUUAACUUGGGGGUUGCAUGGGAAACUGUAGAGCUUGAGUGCAGGAGAGGCAUGCGGAAUGCCUAGUGUAGCGGUGAAAUGCAUAGAUAUUAGGAGGAACACCAGUGGCGAAGGCGGCUUGCUGGCCUCAAACUGACGCUGAGGCACGAAAGCGUGGGGAGCGAACAGGAUUAGAUACCCCUGUAGUC
rnacentral:rRNA from 1 species